AUUGAACGCUGGCGGCAUGCCUUACACAUGCAAGUCGAACGGCAGCACGGGAGCAAUCCUGGUGGCGAGUGGCGAACGGGUGAGUAAUAUAUCGGAACGUGCCCAGUCGUGGGGAUAACGUAGCGAAAGCUACGCUAAUACCGCAUACGAUCUAUGGAUGAAAGCGGGGGAUCGCAAGACCUCGCGCGAUUGGAGCGGCCGAUAUCAGAUUAGCUAGUUGGUGAGGUAAAGGCUCACCAAGGCGACGAUCUUUAGCUGGUCUGAGAGGAUGAUCAGCCACACUGGGACUGAGACACGGCCCAGACUCCUACGGGAGGCAGCAGUGGGGAAUAUUGGACAAUGGGCGAAAGCCUGAUCCAGCAAUAGCCGCGUGAGUGAUGAAGGCCUUAGGGUUGUAAAGCUCUUUACCUAGGGAAUGGAUAAUGACAGUACCGGGAGAAGUAAGACUCCGGCUAACUCCGUGCCAGCAG
rnacentral:rRNA from 1 species